AACACUCACAACGUGGCCUUUUCCUCAGCGGGACCAUUAAUUAUGUCUUUCACUCCUCUGCCAGUCUGUGGAUCCUCACCAAGCCUGUCAGAACAUAAUUCUCUUCAGAUUCCUAUUAUUACUGUCAAAUUUGGUUCAAAUUGCCUCGUAAGGUAUAAAUGACGAGGGAAGACUCACUGGCUGUCUCAGGCACAGGGAGUGUGAUUGCAUAAACCUCUUUUCUUCAGGAAACCAGGCUUACGGAAACCAAAAUACCCUUUUUUUUUUGUUUGUUUCUCUGGAGCUCAGCACAUUCAUCCUGGCAUCGCUGAGGGACGGCAGCGACGCAGCCGCCACGGCAACCCUCCGGCAGGCAGCGGCAUCCAUGGAUUGCUCCCUCCAGGGAUGCUCGCCCGUGGUCUCGGAGCCUCGGAGUGCUGCUGAAAACCCCUCCUGGCAGAAGCCCACAACGAAUGACCUGUCCUUGAGUCACAGGAAAAGCUCCUGAACAAACCCAGCCCUGAAUUUUUCGCUGAGCUGGAAGCACAUGCAAACUCCAUCCUGGCCCUUUGGAUGCUGCAGCCACAAGAUUUACCCACCGUGGUGGAGGAUCUGCGCGGGAGGUGGUCCGAAAGCCCCCAAACUUGUUGCACGCAGGAUGCUUCGGUGCCAACAGCUGGUCUUUGUCAGACGAGGGACUUUGGAAGGGAACGAGCAUCCUACCUCUGACAUCUCCACUGAGCCGUAUUAUUAGUUUUGGCGAUUAAAUAGAAACCCGUUUGCAGGUGACAAUGCUGUAAAAAUAAGUAGGUACCAGAGCCGACAUUGUGAAAAUACGGCAGGAGAACAGAGCUCAGGCAGCAUACAUAAUCUGUGGGGAAAUAAGUGUGUGAAUAAUGAAUGUGCACUGGAAAAAUAAAAUACAUUAUUGUGGUAAA